rnacentral:rRNA from 1 species
UACGGAGGGGGCUAGCGUUGUUCGGAAUUACUGGGCGUAAAGCGCACGUAGGCGGCUUUGUAAGUUAGAGGUGAAAGCCUGGAGCUCAACUCCAGAAUUGCCUUUAAGACUGCAUCGCUUGAAUCCAGGAGAGGUGAGUGGAAUUCCGAGUGUAGAGGUGAAAUUCGUAGAUAUUCGGAAGAACACCAGUGGCGAAGGCGGCUCACUGGACUGGUAUUGACGCUGAGGUGCGAAAGGGGGGGGAGAAAACGG